rnacentral:rRNA from 1 species
UACGGGGGGGGCAAGCGUUGUUCGGAAUUACUGGGCGUAAAGGGCUCGUAGGCGGCCAACUAAGUCGGACGUGAAAUCCCUCGGCUUAACCGGGGAACUGCGUCCGAUACUGGAUGGCUUGAGUUCGGGAGAGGGAUGCGGAAUUCCAGGUGUAGCGGUGAAAUGCGCAGAUAUCAGGAAGAACACCAAUGGCGAAGGCAGCUCUCUGGGACGGUACUGACGCUGAGACGCGAAAGCGUGGGGAGCGAACAGG